UUUACGUCUGCUAAUUGGAAUGAGAACAAUUUAAAUCCCUUAUCGAGGACCCAUUGGAGGGCAAGUCUGGUGCCAGCAGCCGCGGUAAUACCAGCUCCAAUAGCGUAUAUUAAAGUUGUUGCAGUUAAAAAGCUCGUAGUUGGAUUUCUGGCACGGGACCGCCGACCCGGUGAGCUUGUCUUGCUGUGUUGUUGGUGUGUCUCUGCCAUCUUUUCGGCACAACCAGCUUGUUCUUCACUGAAUGAGUUGGCGAUGCUGAUCCUUUACUUUGAAAAAAUUAGAGUGUUCAAAGCAGGCUUAUUGCUGUGAAUACAUUAGCAUGGAAUAAUAAUAUAGGACUUUGGUCUUAUUUUGUUGGUUUCUAAGACUGAAGUAAUGAUUGAUAGGGAUAGUUGGGGGUGCUCGUAUUCGGCGGCCAGAGGUGAAAUUCUAUGAUUCGCUGAAGACNAACUUAUGCGAAAGCAUUCACCAAGGAUGUCUUCUUUAAUCAANAACGAAAGUUGGGGGAUCGAAGACAAUCAAAUACCGUCGUAGUCUCAACCGUAAACGAUGCCGACUCGGGAUCGGUGGACGUUAUUCAUAUGACUCCAUCGGCACCGCNUGAGAAAUCAAAGUCUUUGGGUUCCGGGGGGAGUAUGGUCGCAAGGGUGAAACUUAAAGG
rnacentral:rRNA from 1 species